rnacentral:rRNA from 1 species
UGAACGCUGGCGGCGUGCCUAAUACAUGCAAGUCGAGCGAACGGACGAGAAGCUUGCUUCUCUGAUGUUAGCGGCGGACGGGUGAGUAACACGUGGAUAACCUACCUAUAAGACUGGGAUAACUUCGGGAAACCGGAGCUAAUACCGGAUAAUAUUUUGAACCGCAUGGUUCAAAAGUGAAAGACGGUCUUGCUGUCACUUAUAGAUGGAUCCGCGCUGCAUUAGCUAGUUGGUAAGGUAACGGCUUACCAAGGCAACGAUGCAUAGCCGACCUGAGAGGGUGAUCGGGCACACUGGAACUGAGACACGGUCCAGACUCCUACGGGAGGCAGCAGUAGGGAAUCUUCCGCAAUGGGCGAAAGCCUGACGGAGCAACGCCGCGUGAGUGAUGAAGGUCUUCGGAUCGUAAAACUCUGUUAUUAGGGAAGAACAUAUGUGUAAGUAACUGUGCACAUCUUGACGGUACCUAAUCAGAAAGCCACGGCUAACUACGUG